rnacentral:tRNA from 1 species
AUUUAUAUAAUUUAAAUAAAAUCUUACAUUUUCAAUGUAAAAAUAAAACUCAAGUUUUUAUAAAUA